rnacentral:rRNA from 1 species
UACGAAGGGGGCUAGCGUUGCUCGGAAUUACUGGGCGUAAAGCGCACGUAGGCGGCUUUGCAAGUCAGAGGUGAAAGCCCGGGGCUCAACCCCCGGAAUUGCCUUUGAGACUGCAUCGCUAGAACGUCGGAGAGGUGAGUGGAAUUCCGAGUGUAGAGGUGAAAUUCGUAGAUAUUCGGAAGAACACCAGUGGCGAAGGCGACUCACUGGACGACUGUUGACGCUGAGGUGCGAAAGCGUGGGGAGCAAACAGG